rnacentral:rRNA from 1 species
AUUGAACGCUGGCGGAAUGCUUUACACAUGCAAGUCGAGCGGCAGCGCGGGGCAACCUGGCGGCGAGCGGCGAACGGGUGAGUAAUGUAUCGGAACGUGUCCUUGAGUGGGGGAUAGCCCGGUGAAAACCGGAUUAAUACCGCAUACGCAGGAGACUGGAAAGCGGGGGAUCGCAAGACCUCGCGCUGGAGGAGCGGCCGAUAUCCGAUUAGCUAGAUGGUGAGGUAAAGGCUUACCAUGGCUGUGAUCGGUAGCUGGUCUGAGAGGAUGAUCAGCCACACUGGGACUGAGACACGGCCCAGACUCCUACGGGAGGCAGCAGUGGGGAAUUUUGGACAAUGGGGGCAACCCUGAUCCAGCCAUUCCGCGUGAGUGAAGAAGGCCUUCGGGUUGUAAAGCUCUUUUGUCGGGGACGAAACGGUUACGGUUAAUACCUGUGACUACUGACGGUACCCGAAGAAUAAGCACCGGCUAACUACGUGCCAGCCGCCGCCGUAAUAC